AUGAUUCGUGCUCAGACGGGGGCUCUGGAGUACAAGAGCAAGCUCAGCUUCGAAGGCCUCCCGAACCAGGACUGGACGAUGGCUUCAGUGCAAGAAGUUCUGAAGGAACUUGGUGGCAAGCUGAUCGAGAUACUGCCACCAGCAAGCCACCGCGAGCUCGAGGUAGUGGCUUGGCUUCGUGACCCAUACUUUGUUGGCAAGGUGGUGACAGUUGAGAUACCUGAGCCAAAGUUGAUAAACAAGUCAACCGAGUCCAUGGAUGAUAUGAAGCAAUGCAAUUUGAAUUGGGUGACUACGGACCAUCGUUGCCGAGGAAGAAGAAAAUGCUACUGUAUCCAGUUUUGUGUCAUAUGA
rnacentral:rRNA from 1 species